rnacentral:rRNA from 1 species
AUGGACCAAUCCAUCCCUUUUUCCUAUUCAUAUGGAUCAGACUCGGAUGAUGAUGGUCCCGAUGAAGAAGUUGAUGAGGAGGGGUUCACGGUGAAGGAGGCCGAAGCAUUUAAGAAGGUAUUCCGGCGGGAUCACAAGACACCAUUGUUCAAGUAUCUUAGUCUCCCGUAUGAAGCCGUUUUAGAUGGUGGCAAAUGUAUAUCUCUUGGCGGUAGGCCAAGUUCCCACCGUGAUUUGGAAGACGGCAAGAACGGGAUAUAUCCCAGUUGUGAGUUUGAGUCCUUCUUGGAAUUGAAGAUAUGGCUCGACAACUACUCGGUUACGCAUUAUCGUCCACUUAGAGUGGCCAACUCGGACGUCAAUGUGCGCUACACGGUUAAAUGUGAAGUGCCAAGAUGUCCAUGGAUUGUGCGUGCAAGGCCAUGGAAAGGAGGUCCCACUUGGCGCAUAGUGAAUUGUGUACCAAGUCACAUGUGCCGACACAAUGUAGUGACCACGAUCCCAAUGGAACAAAGUCUCUGUGCUUAA